UCCCGGUUGGCCCGGGCAGUCUCGCAUGAAAAAUACAACAUACGACAAGGGUUGCGCUCGUUGCGGGACUUAACCCAACAUCUCACGACACGAGCUGACGACGGCCAUGCAGCACCUGUCACUAGGCUCCCUAAGGCACUCCUCUGUUUCCAGUGGAUUCCUAGGAUGUCAAGCCUCGGUAAGGUUCUUCGCGUAUCGUCAAAUUAAACCACAUCAUCCUCCGCUUGUGCGGGUCCCCGUCAAUUCCUUUGAGUUUUAGCCUUGCGGCCGUACUUCCCAGGCGGCAUACUUAUCGCGUUAGCUUCGUUUCUCAGGGGGUCGAUACCCCAAAAAACUAGUAUGCAUCGUUUACGGCGUGGACUAC
rnacentral:misc_RNA from 1 species